AUGUGUAGAUCCUUUAAGCAGU
rnacentral:siRNA from 1 species